rnacentral:rRNA from 1 species
GAUGAACGCUGGCGGUAUGCCUAACACAUGCAAGUCGUACGAGAGUUUUUAACUCCAGUGGCGGACGGGUGAGUAACACGUGAGAAUUUGCCUUUAGGAGGGGGACAACAAUUGGAAACGAAUGCUAAUACCCCAUAUGCUUUCGAGUGAAAUGGAUUUUAUCCGCCUAGAGAGAAGCUCGCGGCUGAUUAGCUUGUUGGUAAGGUAAGAGCUUACCAAGGCGACGAUCAGUAUCUGGUUUGAGAGGACGAUCAGACACACUGGAACUGAGACACGGUCCAGACUCCUACGGGAGGCAGCAGUGGGGAAUUUUCCGCAAUGGGCGAAAGCCUGACGGAGCAAUACCGCGUGAGGGAAGAAUGCCUAUGGGUUGUAAACCUCUUUUUUUCAGGGAGGAAUAAAAUGACGUGUACCUGAAGAAUAAGCAUCGGCUAACUCCGUG